rnacentral:lncRNA from 1 species
AUGGUUCUUUCCUGUCUUUGCUCAAGCUCAAGGAAUUCUUUCCUUUCUUUGAGAACUUCCUGGAGAUGUCCUGGUAUCCUGGCCUCCUGCCUCAUCCACAUCUAUCUGCAGUUGUAUGCAUUUCUGAAGGCUGGUAGAGCUUUUCAAGGCAGGCAAGCCAGGGCAUGCAAGUUCAAGUGCUUGAAACCUGCUGCCACUGUUACCCUGCUGUUGAUCCUUCUGGCAUCUGUGAAAUAG